UACGGAGGGGGCUAGCGUUGUUCGGAAUUACUGGGCGUAAAGGGCGCGUAGGCGGCCUGUUAAGUCGAACGUGAAAUCCCCGGGCUCAACCCGGGAACUGCGUCCGAUACUGGCAGGCUUGAGUGUGGCAGAGGGGGGUGGAAUUCCACGUGUAGCAGUGAAAUGCGUAGAGAUGUGGAGGAACACCGAUGGCGAAGGCAGCCCCCUGGGCUAACACUGACGCUCAUGCACGAAAGCGUGGAGAGCAAACAGG
rnacentral:rRNA from 1 species